rnacentral:lncRNA from 1 species
ACUAAAUCAGACAAAUGAGAACCUUCCAAUCAAGUUGGUUUAAAAUUACAGUUUAAAUUAGGACAUGGUAUUAGCAUAUAUGUUUUUCCUACUACACCUAGAUUUUCUGAAAGUUCAAAUAAACUUGAAAGUAAACUUUGAUGGUAUAAGAUGAAAUGAAACGAAAUAGAAUGAAAUCGGAUAGCAUCCAUUUCUUUAAAAAAUCUAACUAGACAAUUUCAUUUUAUUUUACUUCAUUUUGCCAUGUACCAUCAAUUGAAACAUACCCAAAAAGUCUAGAUGUAGUAGAGAAAAUCGAUGUCAAUACCAACACCUAUUGAAUUAGAGCCCAACUUUUUCCAUCCUACGAGCACUUCGGAAAUAUACAUUUAAAAAACAAACAGCUUCUCCCGCCCAAAUAUGUAUUUUCGAACAAACACUCUUUUCUAUCGGUCCAAGAGUGUAUUUCCAAAAUCAUAUAAGAAGGGCGAGAGUGGGUAAAAUUGGGCCCUCACAUUAGAGCUCCUUACCUGACCUUCCUUCUACCCAUAAGCCCAAGAACUUCAUCCCAAAGCCCAACAAUUCCAACAUUACCCAAAUCAACAACACUUGGACUACAAGCAGCCACAGUCCAAUAACCACUUCUAAUUUCAUCUCUCAAUUGUUCUUUCUCCCAACCACAAUACCCAUCAAAGAACCUAAAUUCACCAACCUCAACAACAUUCCUCUUCACCAUUUCAGCAGCACACCCCACACUUUCUUUUGUACCGUAAUAUAAACCCUUCAUCACUUCAUCGAAAACACCACUUUUACCCACCCCAUCAUCUUUAGGAUUCACCAAAAACAACCCUUCUUCUAAAGGUCCUCCAAAAUACAAAGGACUAUUAGAAAAAGUACCAUUCACAUCAAAUGCUGUCGACCUUGUCUCUUUAAUAGACAUCAAUGAUGGUCUAUUG